rnacentral:tRNA from 1 species
AGUGGCUAUGCACCGGAUUGCAAAUCCGUUUACAGCGGUUCGAUUCCGCUUGAGGCCU